rnacentral:rRNA from 1 species
UACGUAGGUGGCAAGCGUUAUCCGGAAUUAUUGGGCGUAAAGGGCGCGUAGGCGGCGUGACAAGUCACUUGUGAAAUCUCCGGGCUUAACUCGGAGCGGUCAAGUGAUACUGUCGUGCUAGAGUGCGGAAGGGGCUACUGGAAUUCUCGGUGUAGCGGUGAAAUGCGUAGAUAUCGAGAGGAACACCUGCGGCGAAGGCGGGUAGCUGGGCCGACACUGACGCUGAUGCGCGAAAGCCAGGGGAGCGAACGGG